CCCCUAGACGUUCUGGGCUGCACGCGCGCUACAAUAAUACGCACAGCGAGUAUCACCGAGCUCGAAAGGGCAAGGUAAACAAUAGAAAAGGUACUGUAAUGGUUAUAGAUCCUUGUAAUUAUUGAUCUUCAACGAGGAAUUCCUAGUAAGUAUGUGUCAUCAUCACGCACUGAUUACGUCCCUGCCCUUUGUACACACCGCCCGUCGCUCCUACCGAUUGAGUGAGUCGAUGAAACUGCCGGAUGUGGACUAUUCAUAGUCUGCAGAAGAUAUUUGAAUCGUAGCGCUUAGAGGAAGGAGAAGUCGUAACA
rnacentral:rRNA from 1 species